rnacentral:rRNA from 1 species
AGUGAACGCUGGCGGUAGGCCUAACACAUGCAAGUCGAACGGCAGCACAGUAAGAGCUUGCUCUUACGGGUGGCGAGUGGCGGACGGGUGAGGAAUACAUCGGAAUCUACUUUUUCGUGGGGGAUAACGUAGGGAAACUUACGCUAAUACCGCAUACGACCUACGGGUGAAAGCAGGGGAUCUUCGGACCUUGCGCGAUUGAAUGGGCCGAUGUCGGAUUAGCUAGUUGGCGGGGUAAAGGCCCACCAAGGCGACGAUCCGUAGCUGGUCUGAGAGGAUGAUCAGCCACACUGGAACUGAGACACGGUCCAGACUCCUACGGGAGGCAGCAGUGGGGAAUAUUGGACAAUGGGCGCAAGCCUGAUCCAGCCAUACCGCGUGGGUGAAGAAGGCCUUCGGGUUGUAAAGCCCUUUUGUUGGGAAAGAAAAGCAGCAGGUUAAUACCCCGCUGUUCUGACGGUACCCAAAGAAUAAGCACCGGCUAACUUAGUG